rnacentral:rRNA from 1 species
UUUCCUACGGGGGUCAGCAGUGGGGAAUAUUGGACAAUUUUUUUAACCCUGAUCCAGCGACGCCGCGUGAGUGAAGAAGUAUUUCGGUAUGUAAAGCUCUAUCAGCAGGGAAGAAAGAAAUGACGGUACCUGACUAAGAAGCCCCGGCUAACUACGUGCCAGCAGCCGCGGUAAUACGUAGGGGGCAAGCGUUAUCCGGAUUUACUGGGUGUAAAGGGAGCGUAGACGGCGAUGCAAGUCUGAAGUGAAAGGCGGGGGCCCAACCCCCGGACUGCUUUGGAAACUGUAUAGCUGGAGUGCAGGAG